rnacentral:rRNA from 1 species
AAAUGAAUAGACGGGGACCCGCACAAGCAGCGGAGCAUGUGGUUUAAUUCGAAGCAACGCGAAGAACCUUACCAGGGCUUGACAUCCCCCCGAUCGUCUCGUAAAAGAGAUUUCCCUUCGGGGCGGGGGAGACAGGUGGUGCAUGGUUGUCGUCAGCUCGUGUCGUGAGAUGUUGGGUUAAGUCCCGCAACGAGCGCAACCCUUGUCAUUAGUUGCCAUCAUUAAGUUGGGCACUCUAGUGAGACUGCCGGGGAUAACUCGGAGGAAGGUGGGGAUGACGUCAAAUCAUCAUGCCCCUUAUGUUCUGGGCUACACACGUGCUACAAUGGCCGGUACAGCGAGAAGCAAAGUCGUGAGGCGGAGCCAAUCUACAAAACCGGUCCCAGUUCGGAUUGCAGGCUGCAACUCGCCUGCAUGAAGUCGGAGUUGCUAGUAAUCGCGGAUCAGCUUGCCGCGGUGAAUGCGUUCCCGGGUCUUGUACACACCGCCCGU